UUACGUUCUGGAUAAGAGAAGUAACGGGAAUGAACUCGUCACCUACUAACCAAUCAGUUAACUGGAAAACAGCGUCACCAUGCCCUCGGAUCUCUCUGUCUGAGGAGUAGGAGGAUCUAAAGUUUUCCGGUAGCGUCUAAACUCUUCACAUUUCCCAAAUGGUCUUUUAUCCCUCUGAAUAAGCAGGAGGAUAACGCAUUAAAGAGGCAUUUUUACUGUGCGCACAAUACUGUUGUCAUAAGCUACGUGUCACGCUAGCGAAGCAAGCCGUGUGGAGGUGAGAUAAGGACCCAAAACGCAGGCACUGGCUGAGAUGUGAGAUGCUUUAUUGAAGCAGAGUGACAUACAACCAAAAGCGAGGGUGGCGAGAAACAGAACUAGGAACGACUCCAGACUGGGAAAACUAAACCCUGAAUCCGCAGGAAGACAUGGAGGAAGUGACGCAGGGAGGUAACACAGACGGAUCAAUAACGCACACAAGAGGACACAUGCUAUAAAUACACACAGAAGGAAACGAGGAAACAGCACACAGGAGGGAGAUACAGCUGAACCUAAUGAAUCCGAGGAGACAAGGAGGACACAAGCUGAAUACACUGACAUCAGGAACGGACCUUCAAAGUAAAACAGGAAAUACACAGACUGGACAGAGAACAGAGGGAGCACAGAACUAAAACCCUAAACACUAAAAGUCUAAACCCAAAUACAUACACAGAAUAAACUGGAACAUAAGAUCAUAAUAAUAAACACAAAACGCUGGGUCAAAUGACCCAGGACUUAAUUUAGAGUAAAAUCAGAUGCAACCUUUAAUUGAUGUGAUUCUGUGAGAAAAUUCAACACAUCACAUUGGACAGGAAAAGAUGUUAUUCCCUGUUGCUGGCAUUUCAGGAAGGACACUUGUACAUAUUUGAAUUGUACCUGAAACACUGUUUUACAUUUCUACACACAACAAAAUAAAUAAGCUGCUUCAAACAUC